rnacentral:rRNA from 1 species
UACGGAGGGGGCUAGCGUUGUUCGGAAUUACUGGGCGUAAAGCGCGCGUAGGCGGCUUUGUAAGUUAGAGGUGAAAGCCCGGAGCUUAACUCCGGAACUGCCUUUAAGACUGCAUCGCUAGAAUCGUGGAGAGGUGAGUGGAAUUCCGAGUGUAGAGGUGAAAUUCGUAGAUAUUCGGAAGAACACCAGUGGCGAAGGCGACUCACUGGACACGUAUUGACGCUGAGGAGCGAAAGCGUGGGGAGCGAACAGG